AAGAUUUUAGUUUUUCACUAGAGCCAGGAUAGGAGAAAACCAAACGAUACCGUACAAAUACAGUGUAUUUGGUGCACUAGAAAUACAUUUUAUUCGUGACAACAGUGUUACUUUCUUCAGAUGUGCAUAUCAAUAUCACAAACUUGAUCGAGAAUAUUUGUGGUUUACAUUGCUAGUGUUUAGUUAUUUAUAGAGAUAGGGCUACAAAACCAUAAUUAUGCCUCGAAGUUAACCUGGUAAAUCGCGUUAAAAAACUAACAAUUAAUUAUAUUGUGUAAUAGCAUGCUCUAGCAAAACAUAAACGAUUCGUUGAUUUAUUACACACCUUGAUUAUGUAGCUUGGUUUGACAAACCAGCACUCGUUUUGGGACAAUCAACAAAUCCUCAAUUUGACAGAAAUCCAAUGGUAGCGGCACACGAUUCGAUCGUAGUGGC